rnacentral:tRNA from 13 species
GCGCAUGUAGCUCAGCUGGAUAGAGUACCUGGCUACGAACCAGGCGGUCGGAGGUUCGAAUCCUUCCAUGCGCGCCA